rnacentral:lncRNA from 1 species
GUGCAAAGAAUUUAAUAAUAGGUAUGGAAUUUGAGUUAUCCAUAAAAAUAAAAAGAUAAAAGAAUAAAAGUAUAAAAGUAUAAUACAAGAUAAUAGCAAGACUCAAAGUUAUCUCAGCAAACCGUCUUUCUCCCCGGCAACGGCGCCAGAAACGCUUGUUGAUAUUUGGUGACGCAAUAAGGAAAUGAUCCACAAGCGCAC